GACGAACGCUGGCGGCGUGCUUAACACAUGCAAGUCGAACGGAAAGGCCCUGCUUUUGUGGGGUGCUCGAGUGGCGAACGGGUGAGUAACACGUGAGUAACCUGCCCUUGACUUUGGGAUAACUUCAGGAAACUGGGGCUAAUAUCGGAUAGGAGCUCCUGCUGCAUGGUGGGGGUUGGAAAGUUUCGGCGGUUGGGGAUGGACUCGCGGCUUAUCAGCUUGUUGGUGGGGUAGUGGCUUACCAAGGCUUUGACGGGUAGCCGGCCUGAGAGGGUGACCGGCCACCUUGGGACUGAGAUACGGCCCAGACUCCUACGGGAGGCAGCAGUGGGGAAUCUUGCACAAUGGGCGGAAGCCUGAUGCAGCAACGCCGCGUGCGGGAUGACGGCCUUCGGGUUGUAAACCGCUUUCGCCUGUGACGAAGCGUGAGUGACGGUAAUGGGUAAAGAAGCACCGGCUAACUACGUG
rnacentral:rRNA from 1 species